AAGAUUAGCCAUGCAUGUCUAGUAUAGCAUAUACGUGAAACUGCGAUGGCUCAUUAAAUCAGUAUCGUUUAUUUGAUAGUACCUUACCACUUGGAUAACCCGUGGUAAUUCUAGAGCUAAUACAUGCUAAAAACCCCGACUUCGGAAGGGGUGUGUUUAUUAGAUAAAAAACCAAUGCCUUUCGGGGCUCUUUGGUGAUUCAUGAUAACCUAACGGAUCGCAUGGCCUUGCGCCGGCGACGGUUCAUUCAAAUUUCUGCCCUAUCAACUUUCGAUGGUAAGGUAUUGGCUUACCAUGGUUUCAACGGGUAACGGGGAAUUAGGGUUCGAUUCCGGAGAGGGAGCCUGAGAAACGGCUACCACAUCCAAGGAAGGCAGCAGGCGCGCAAAUUACCCAAUCCCGACACGGGGAGGUAGUGACAAUAAAUACUGAUACAGGGCUCUUUUGGGUCUUGUAAUUGGAAUGAGUACAAUUUAAACCCCUUAACGAGGAACAAUUGGAGGGCAAGUCUGGUGCCAGCAGCCGCGGUAAUUCCAGCUCCAAUAGCGUAUAUUAAAGUUGUUGCAGUUAAAAAGCUCGUAGUUGAAACUUGGGUCUGGCUAGCGGGUCCGCCUCACCGCGUGCACUUGUCCGGCUGGACCUUUCCUUCUGGAGAACCUCAUGCCCUUCACUGGGUGUGUUGGGGAACCAGGACUUUUACUUUGAAAAAAUUAGAGUGUUCAAAGCAGGCCUUUGCUCGAAUACGUUAGCAUGGAAUAAUAGAAUAGGACGUGCGGUCCUAUUUUGUUGGUUUCUAGGAUCGCCGUAAUGAUUAAUAGGGAUAGUCGGGGGCAUCAGUAUUCAAUUGUCAGAGGUGAAAUUCUUGGAUUUAUUGAAGACUAACUACUGCGAAAGCAUUUGCCAAGGAUGUUUUCAUUAAUCAGUGAACGAAAGUUAGGGGAUCGAAGACGAUCAGAUACCGUCGUAGUCUUAACCGUAAACUAUGCCGACU
rnacentral:rRNA from 1 species